UAGGAAAAAUCAGUCCAUAAUCAGACUGGCAGUCCUUUGAUUCUGGACUCAUCAAUGGCAAAAUGUCUAUUGACUUCAAUGGAAGCAGGACUGGGAUGCUGAACAAGAAAAAGGAAGAACUUCUAACAUGUACAGUAUAAAGUCGGGAGGUUCUUGGAAAAAUGGAACUUGGGGAUCCUCAGCACUUUGGAAGAUCAGGCUCUAACAUCUUAACAUUACUGAAGUUGACAGGCUGGGUCCAUGGAAGUUGGGCAGAGUUUUGAUUUCAACGAGGAUUCCAGUGGCAUGGCCACUGCCAGACGGUUCCUGCCUCCUGCCAGAAGCUGGGUCUGCCCUGUGAGUUUCCUAGAACAUUUCUGGGCACUGGAGAAAUAAUAAAUAAUGUAACAAAAGCUGAAAAAGGGCAAGGAAGUGACAGACUCUCACUGACUUUUAAUUACAUAUUUUAAUUACAGUAUUUACAUAUGGAGUUAAUUAUAUUUUAAAAUCUAAAUUACUUUAAUAUUGUCUAAAAUGGCUUGGAUGUUAUAGGAGACACACAAUCUAGAGCAUGAUGAACUGUAUUUAAUAUAUAAUCUAAAAAGCAUGGAAACAUAGUGAUGGAAGGGACCUCAGGGGGGUCAUCUAAUGCAUCUAGCCACCUCCUCUCCUUUAAGUAUUCCUAGACCAUCAAUAGUAUGUUUAAGCUCUCCAAAGAAGAGGGUGCCACAGCUUUCCAAGGUAGCCUAUUAUGGUGCUUAAUUAUAUUUAUGGAGUUAGAAAGCUUUUUAAAAAAAUAACCUAAUGUCUCCCUUCCUGGAAAACAAAAUGAUUAUUUCUUGCCCUGUUUUUGGUAGAGAACAAUUGAUUACUAACCUCUUUUUAACCUUUUUACAUAUUUGUAGGCUGUUCCCAUGCCUAUCCUCAGCCUUCUCUUUUCUAGUCUAAAUGAACCCAAUUGUUUCAAGCUCUCUGAAAGUUUCUGAAAUGCUGAUCAUUCUUGUUUUUCUCCUUCGGAUUCUCUCCAAUUUCUUAAAGGAUGGUGCCAAAAACUGGAUACUAUAAUCAAGCUGAGUAGGAGAGAUUAGUUAUUAACUCUUGCUUCUUACCUAACAUUUCUGUGAAUACACCCGGAAUGAAAUAUGCUGCCAUUGUAACAGCAUUAAACCCACUUUUUUUCUCAAACACUGUUAUCUAAUGAAUUACUUCCCCUUUGUAUUUGUGCCUUUGAUGUUUUCUUCCUAAGUGUAGUUCUUUGUACUUGUCUCCACUGAAUUUUAUUUUAUUGAUUUCAGAUAAUUUUUAAACUAAUCCAGAUAGUUUUGAAAUCUACUCAUCCUCCAGAGUGCUUGCCACCUUGUCUCAGCGUGGUGUUAUCAGCAAAGUUUAUAAGUAUGCUCUGUAUUCCAGCAUCUAAACCAUUAAGGAAAAUACAGACUAGAACCAGGUCUGGGACAAAUCCUGUUGGGACCUGACCAGAUGUCUCCCUUUGAAGAUGUUUUCUUCUUGUUGUUAAUCAUAAAUACAUAAACUAGUAAGACCUUUCAGAAUGACUUUGGAUGUAGCAUCCCUUUUUUUAACUCUGCCCCAUAAGGAUGUCUUUUUGGAUUGAAUUCGGAAUCUUUUAUUCAUGUUGAAUUACACUUAUGCAAAUAGUGCUAUUGACUUUAAUGGACUAUAGUUAUAAGUACUGCUCACCUGGAGAAUGGAACAAAGACUUAAAGCUUUUAUGAUUGCUCUUUUUUACCAGGUUGAUUAACAACCCUUCUGUCUCAUGCUAUGGUAUUUUAGCUAGUUGGCUUAUUUCCAGUUUAUUUAUAAUUUUAUGUGGCACAAAAUUGAUUGCCUCAUUGCAAUUAAAAUAUUCUUAUCCAGAAGCUUCCUCUUCAUCUGCAAGACCAGCAGCUGCAUCAAAUAUGGCUCUUGAAUGUGCCUGUCUGGACUUACUUUUAACAAAUGCAAGAGGGUUGUUGGUUAGAUUUUUCCCUCAAAUCAUUAGUAAGUCCCUUCAUAUGGUUGAAUGUUUGAAAACUACUGGCCAGUAGUUUUCAAAUCCUUUCUUCUGAAAGUUACAGAGUAGUUUAUUCAUCAUUUUAAAGGUUAUAUUAGUUUUGUCCUUCUAAUACUUCUGAGGUUUGAGAGAGUUCCUAUUCCAGUUCUUUUAAAACACUCACUUUAACCUCUGUACAACUGGCAAUUCUUGUAGAUUUAUUUUAACUUACAUCAUUGUAUCAUUGCCUUAAUUAUAUAUGGCUCAUAAGAACAAAGGCCAAGAAAAAGCUGCUUUGGCCAUUGUGGCCAUUGAGUCCAUUCCCUUGUGUUCAUAGAUGGUGAUUUAUCCAAUGGGUCUCAAUAUUGUCUGCUCCUACCCCUCUUACACAAAACAGCUGCAAAGCAUCCUAUGAAAACAAAACUGAAACACCCUAUGACAUACCAAAGGUAAAAAGCAGGGGAAAACCUACCUACCAUAUUUUUAUUGCAAGGAAUUUGCCUGCUUGCCUCUGAUGUGUUCAUUACUUAGAUCCUUCCUGUUAAAACCUGCGCAAAACUAACUAUUUCAGAUUUCAGCUACCUCAGAGCUCUCCCUAACUUGCUCACAUACCCUGAUUUUGGAGUAACCCUGUUCACACUGCUAGUAAAUGUCUCUGUUUCUGAAUGCA